AUUUAAAUAGCUUAAAUUUACAGAGUGAAAGAUUUUUAAUUUUUUGGUGAUUAUUUAUCUUUAGAUA
rnacentral:tRNA from 1 species